GUUUUCUUUGUAAUAAAUGGUUUUCAUUAAUGUGUAAUGAUUACUUAAAACUGUAGUUCUAUAUAGAAAGAGGAAGCGGAAUUACCCUGCCUGCCCCAUGUACACCCCAGCCUAGGCCCUUGUACCUGGUCGGUAUUGUGAAUGGGAAGACAUGG